UACGUAGGGUGCAAGCGUUAAUCGGAAUUACUGGGCGUAAAGCGUGCGCAGGCGGUUAUGUAAGACAGUUGUGAAAUCCCCGGGCUCAACCUGGGAACUGCAUCUGUGACUGCAUAGCUAGAGUACGGUAGAGGGGGAUGGAAUUCCGCGUGUAGCAGUGAAAUGCGUAGAUAUGCGGAGGAACACCGAUGGCGAAGGCGAGUCCCUGGACAACUUCUGACGCUGAGGCACGAAAGCUAGGGGAGCAAACGGG
rnacentral:rRNA from 1 species